CCUACGGGGUGCAGCAGUGAGGAAUAUUGGUCAAUGGGCGCGAGCCUGACCCAGCCACGUAGCGUGAAGGAUGAAUGCCCUACGGGUUGUAAACUUCUUUUAUAAAGGAAUAAAGUGAGGCACGUGUUCCUUUUUGUAUGUACUUUAUGUAUAAGGAUAGGCUAACCCCGUGCCAGCAGCCCCGGUAAUACGGAGGGUCCGAGCGUUAUCCGGAUUUAUUGGGUUUAAAGGGAGCGUAGAUGGGUUGUUAAGUCAGUUGUGAAAGUUUGCGGCUCAACCGUGAAAUUGAAAUUGAUACUGGCAGUCUUGAGUACAGGUGAGGUAGGCGGAAUUCGUGGUGUAGCGGUGAAAUGCUUAGAUAUCACGAAGAACUCCGAUUGCGAAGGCAGCUUACUAAACUGCCACUGACAUUGAGGCUCGAAAGUGUGGGUAUCAAACAGGAUUAGAUACCCCAGUAGUC
rnacentral:rRNA from 1 species